rnacentral:rRNA from 1 species
UUGGAGGGCAAGUCUGGUGCCAGCAGCCGCGGUAAUUCCAGCUCCAAUAGCGUAUAUUAAAGUUGUUGCAGUUAAAAAGCUCGUAGUUGAAUUUCGGGAUCAAUUUAUUGGUCGUGCCAACGGUACGCACUGGUACAAUUGGUUUCUCCCUUCUGACGAAGCAUGAUGUCAUUAAUUUGAUGUCGUGGGGAAUCAGGACUGUUACUUUGAAAAAAUUAGAGUGUUUAAAGCAGGCUUUGGCUUGAAUACAUUAGCAUGGAAUAAUGAAAUAGGACGUUUGAUCUUAUUUCGUUGGUUUCUAAGAUCGACGUAAUGAUUAAUAGGGAUAGUUGGGGACAUUAGUAUUCAAUUGUCAGAGGUGAAAUUCUUGGAUUUAUUGAAGACUAACUACUGCGAAAGCAUUUGCCAAGGAUGUUUUCAUUAAUCAAGAACGAAAGUUAGGGGAUCGAAGACGAUCAGAUACCGUCGUAGUCUUAACCAUAAACUAUGCCGACUAGGGAUCGGAUGAUGUUAAUUUUUUAAUGACUCAUUCGGCGCCUUACGGGAAAC